ACUCCUACGGGAGGCAGCAGUGGGGAAUUUUGGACAAUGGGCGAAAGCCUGAUCCAGCAAUGCCGCGUGCAGGAUGAAGGCCCUCGGGUUGUAAACUGCUUUUGUACGGAACGAAAAGCCUGGGGCUAAUAUCCCCGGGUCAUGACGGUACCGUAAGAAUAAGCACCGGCUAACUACGUGCCAGCAGCCGCGGUAAUACGUAGGGUGCAAGCGUUAAUCGGAAUUACUGGGCGUAAAGCGUGCGCAGGCGGUUUUGUAAGACAGUGGUGAAAUCCCCGGGCUCAACCUGGGAACUGCCAUUGUGACUGCAAGGCUAGAGUGCGGCAGAGGGGGAUGGAAUUCCGCGUGUAGCAGUGAAAUGCGUAGAUAUGCGGAGGAACACCGAUGGCGAAGGCAAUCCCCUGGGCCUGCACUGACGCUCAUGCACGAAAGCGUGGGAGCAAACAGGAUUAGAUACCCCUGGUAGCGACUGA
rnacentral:rRNA from 1 species